rnacentral:lncRNA from 1 species
AUUUUUACACAAAAUUGAAUAUUGUAAGUAAUUUUUUUUAAUUAUAAAGUAAUUUUUUAGUAUUGAAUUUUUGUUUACAAGUUAUCUUAAACAUGUGGAUUGAGAAUAAUUAUUUAGCAGAUAGUAAAAGUGGAAGAAAAUUUGAAUAACGGCCCAAAAACCAAUGAUUUGAAGGGUUGAGAAAUACACCCCAAUUACAUUGCAUUGAUUUUGAAUUGUUAAAAAAGGAACAAGCACCUGUUUCAAAGGUCAAAAUCGAUGAAAAAACUCUCAAGUAGGCCCUUAAGUUUAAAAAGAACAAGGGAGAAUAAUAGUCUCGUCGUUACAAUAAUGAUCAAGUAAAGCAUAUUAAACACCAAUAAUGAUUGCCGAGACCCAAAUACCACCUGUAUUGUAGUAUCAUUCACAAUCACAAAAGUCUACCCCAUCUCCCUCCAACCCCUUAAAAAAAAUAAAUGGUUUCUUUACUUUCAAAAAACCAGACGUAUAGAUUAUGUGACAAUGAAAAGGGUGUUUUAAUUUAAACGUGCCUAUCUUUUAAUUUCAUUGUGCAAAAACAUCCAUGCCUUUAAUUUUUUGGAAUUUACAUCACUAUUUUUAUCUUUCAUUGCGCAAAAGGUUAUUUUUAUCCAUUUUUCCAAUAAAAAAAUGAUUUUACCCUCCUAUUCAAAUAUAACAAAAAGAGAAGAAAUGAAAGGAUAAAGAACUAAUUGAAACAAUGGUCCUAAAUUUUGAAAAAAUUACAAAUUAAUCGCAAAUAUAUAAUUAAAAAUCAAAACAAAACAAAAAUGGCUCGUUUUUCUCUCUACAUUAUUCUAAUAGGCAACACAGAUGUCUGAUGCACUUUGACCCUAAAUGCUACAAUUAGUAUCCCAUACUGCUUAUGCCCACAAAUUGAUAGACCUCAAAGAAAUCUGAAGAUGCAAGCAGAUGAAUUAGUGGUGUGGAGAUGGAAAGUUACCGCGACUGUAAACCCCCGAAAAAUAUCGAGGGAGACAAGGUGAGUGGUCCUAGAAGCAGAUGGUAUGCAUAUAGAGGCGGCAUUAGGAGGAGAAGACGAAUCAAGUUUUAAUAAAGCGGAUUCAACAUCAUCCCUACCCUCAAUGCACAACGUACACUUGUUUCCUUGCAGAUGUGGAUUUUUUUUUUUUUUGUUUUUUGUUUUGAUUUUCAAUUAUAUAUUUGUGAUGAAUCUGUAAUUUUUUUAAAAAUUUGGGACUAUUGUUACAAUUAGUUCUUUAUUCCUUCAUUUCGUUUCUUUUUGUUUUAUUUGAAUAGGAGAGUAAAAUUAUUUUUUUAUUGAAAAAUGGAUGAAAAAUGAUCUUUUGCACAAUGAAAAUGUGGUAAUUGGGAUGAAAAUGUCAAAAAUUGAAAUAUAGGAACAUUUUGCAUAAUGACAAUAAAAG